rnacentral:rRNA from 1 species
GACGAACGCUGGCGGCGUGCUUAACACAUGCAAGUCGAACGAAGUGGCGGACGGGUGAGUAACGCGUAAUCAACCUGCCCUUCAGGGGGGGACACCAGUUGGAAACGACUGCUAAUACCGCAUACGGAAUAGGGGGUUUGCGUGUGAUUAGCUAGUUGGAGGGGUGACGGCCCACCCAGGCGAUGAGCAGUAGCCGGGCUGGGAGGAUGAACGGCCCCAUUGGGACUGGAACACGGCCCAGGAUCCUACGGGGGGGAGCAGUGGGGAAACGUCCGCAAUGGAGGGAAGUCUGGAGGAGCAAAGCCGGGUGAGUGAUAACGGCCUUCGGGUUGUAAAGCUCUUUUAAUCGGGAAGCGGUACCGGAAGAGAAAGCAACGGCUAACUACGUGCCAGCCGCCGCGGUAAUAC